AUUGAACGCUGGCGGCAGGCCUAACACAUGCAAGUCGAGCGGAUGAAGGGAGCUUGCUCCUGGAUUCAGCGGCGGACGGGUGAGUAAUGCCUAGGAAUCUGCCUGGUAGUGGGGGAUAACGUCCGGAAACGGGCGCUAAUACCGCAUACGUCCUGAGGGAGAAAGUGGGGGAUCUUCGGACCUCACGCUAUCAGAUGAGCCUAGGUCGGAUUAGCUAGUUGGUGGGGUAAAGGCCUACCAAGGCGACGAUCCGUAACUGGUCUGAGAGGAUGAUCAGUCACACUGGAACUGAGACACGGUCCAGACUCCUACGGGAGGCAGCAGUGGGGAAUAGUGGACAAUGGGCGAAAGCCUGAUCCAGCCAUGCCGCGUGUGUGAAGAAGGUCUUCGGAUUGUAAAGCACUUUUAGUUGGGAGGAAGGGCAGUAAGUUAAUACCUUGCUGUUUUGACGUUACCAACAGAAUAAGCACCGGCUAACUUCGUG
rnacentral:rRNA from 1 species